UGGGGAAUUUUGGACAAUGGGCGCAAGCCUGAUCCAGCCAUUCCGCGUGCAGGAUGAAGGCCCUCGGGUUGUAAACUGCUUUUGUACAGAACGAAAAGCUCUGGGUUAAUACCCUGGGGUCAUGACGGUACUGUAAGAAUAAGCACCGGCUAACUACGUGCCAGCAGCCGCGGUAAUACGUAGGGUGCAAGCGUUAAUCGGAAUUACUGGGCGUAAAGCGUGCGCAGGCGGUUAUGUAAGACAGAGGUGAAAUCCCCGGGCUCAACCUGGGAACUGCCUUUGUGACUGCAUAGCUAGAGUACGGCAGAGGGGGAUGGAAUUCCGCGUGUAGCAGUGAAAUGCGUAGAUAUGCGGAGGAACACCGAUGGCGAAGGCAAUCCCCUGGGCCUGUACUGACGCU
rnacentral:rRNA from 1 species